AAAUUCCCCAUAGAAAUGAAGAAUGGAACAAAAGAAUAACAAAGAUGUGCACAUUGCUAUGAGAAAAGGCAAUUUGUAAAAACAAUUCAGGAAACGUGAUAUCGGGAGGUGCUAUGUGCUGAAUCAGGAUCUCAUUAGUAAGGUUGAUCUGGAUGGUGAAUGGAGUUUUUGUGAUGGUCAACAGAGGCUGGUAUGCUGAGCGUCUCAGAGAAGUACACGGAGUGCUUUCUCAGCAUUUACUUGAAGAGGCAUAGCUAUUAAAUAGUGUUAGACUUCUUUUCUACUCAUCGUUAGGGGAAUCCAGUUAGAUAAAAAGA